AGAACGAACGCUGGCGGCAUGCCUAAUACAUGCAAGUCGAACGAACUCUUCGGAGUUAGUGGCGCACGGGUGCGUAACGCGUGGGAAUCUGCCCCUUGGUUCGGAAUAACAGUUGGAAACGACUGCUAAUACCGGAUGAUGACGAAAGUCCAAAGAUUUAUCGCCAAGGGAUGAGCCCGCGUAGGAUUAGCUAGUUGGUGAGGUAAAGGCUCACCAAGGCAACGAUCCUUAGCUGGUCUGAGAGGAUGAUCAGCCACACUGGGACUGGAGACACGGCCCAGACUCCUACGGGACGCAG
rnacentral:rRNA from 1 species